UAAUUUUAUGGUUGCAGUCACCAUCUGCAGUGAUUUUGGAGCCCAAGAAAGGAAAAUCUGUCACUACAUACAUCCUUUCUUCUUAAGAUUUCCUCCCCAUUUAGGUGGGAAAGGGUACUUUCCUGUGCUCCACAGUAGGUCACCUGCGGAUUACUCUUGCAGAUAAAAUUUGUCACCGCUUAUUUUGGUUCAUAAACAAAUAUUCUUUUUAAAGUUAUCAUCUAACAUUUUCUGUGUGUCCAUCAUAAAGCCAUCUUGUCAUGAUAUUUGCUCUCAGUUUUCAAAGCCCAUGGAGAUGAGCAGGUUGUAAAGUGGGAGUUUUUUCUGCAGAUGCUGUACAGUGCUACCAGGUGGUGGUGAACAGUGCUGCGUAUUCCUGAAGUCGAAGGCGGCAGGAGCAGAAGAAGGUGUCUUUCCUGAAUUACAUGGUGGAGUCUUUACUGGCUGAGCCAUCAGGGAAGCCCCAGCACAGGGACUGUGAUUCAGUGAGAUUCUGUGGUUUUGCCAAGUGGUUUUCAAUAGGAUGUGAGGCUUGCAGAGACCCUUCCUCACCUUCAAACCUAAUCAACAGUGGAAACAUGUCAAUAUUUCCCUUUGGAACAUAAUUUGUCAAAUUUUCAUUUCUUUUCAAUCCAAGAACCUAUCUCUUGAAGUCAAAAUGUUUUCUCUGGGAUUUUAUGAUUCAUCUUUUAACCUAAACUCCUGCUGAGAAUUCUUUCUCUGCUAAGCCACUAAAUUCCUGUUGGUAACAGAUUUAUGUGCUCUUUAUCCAGAUGUUUCCACAGUUUAAAAAAUAUUCUCGAGUGAAUUGUUCUCUUUUUAAUAAAGUUGGUGGUUUUUGUCACAUUGUCUAGACUUUUAAAAUUUUUUGUUUAACAGGCUUUGACAUCAGCACCUCUCUAUGAAGAAAAACAGUAUGUUGUGAACAAAGUCAGAAUUUUCUUUGCUCAUUAGAGGCAAAGCC
rnacentral:lncRNA from 1 species